AGAAUCAACGCUGGCGGCGUGCCUAACACAUGCAAGUCGCACGAGAAAGGGUAGCAAUACCUGAGUACAGUGGCGCACGGGUGAGUAACACGUGAAUAAUCUACCUCCGAGUGGGGAAUAACUGAGAGAAAUCUUAGCUAAUACCGCAUAAUACCCACGGGUCAAAGCAGCAAUGCGCUUGGAGAGGAGUUCGCGGCAGAUUAGUUAGUUGGCGGGGUAAUGGCCCACCAAGACGAUGAUCUGUAUCCGGCCUGAGAGGGCGCACGGACACACUGGAACUGAAACACGGUCCAGACUCCUACGGGAGGCAGCAGUGGGGAAUUUUGCGCAAUGGGGGAAACCCUGACGCAGCAACGCCGCGUGGAGGAUGAAGCCCCUUGGGGUGUAAACUCCUUUCGAUCGGGAAGAUAAUGACGGUACCGAUAUAAGAAGCCCGGCUAACUUCGCGCCAGCAGCCGC
rnacentral:rRNA from 1 species